UGAAGAUGUUGCCCGUGUCUUUCUCCUGCAGGUGCUCGAGCGUCUUGCGGAGGAGGAUGAGGAAGGGGGUCAGCUGCAUUUCCAGUGCCACCUGCUGCACUUUGAUCUGAAACAGAAGAACGGAGCGCAACUGAGCAUCCUGCCCUAGAGACGGCCUCCAGGAGCAGCUUAGCAGACCCACAGGACAGUGCCACCUCUCCCUGCUGCAGUGGGGCCAUUCCUCAAUAGGGGCUGCACGGGGCACGCGCUGCACCUCAACAUCACCUCUAGAGAGCAGAGGAACAUCAGAGACUGUGAGCUGACAGAAGUGUUCCCAUCUCCUCCUUCCUGACUGCGUGUGAGGGCUCUUCCCUGGUACAGGGAACCAGCGCGCCUGACCCGCUGCCUCAGUAAGCAUCCCAGCUCCCCUGUCGUGUGGGUGACACAGAGACAGCCCAAAUGCUGCCUACAGCUCAGUACCUGCUCCAUGGUCACCCAGCCCCGAGGAUGCGAGAAAGCAAACUCUGGAAAUACUCUGCCUGACAUGACCACAAGCAGGAAGCUGCCCGGGACCACAGAGCAGCAAUAACAGGGUCCAGGCAGCUGCCCAGAGCUCUAGUGAAGGGCAACAGGGCAAAAUGGGAAGACAGCUCUGGUUACUUUCACUUUUGGAGAAUCAAAAACCAUGCUGACUUUUAUUCUGCUACUGUAGCCAAAGAUGAGCAGAAGUAGUUUCAAAUCUUCUCCAGCAAAUAAAAAUGAGAGGAGGCAAAAGCGGGAGAAACCGCUGCCUGAUCACAGUCUUCAAAGGGCUCAGAAAGGCUUAUACAGGGAAUCAGAGGAAAGAUCUUCCUCUGGCACGAGAAACCUCACAUCUGUGAAGCACUGACUGAAGGCUGAGGCAAACAGCAGGCUGAGAGCACCACCCACAGGGAACGUUCCCACAACUAUUUCAGAAUCUGUGAGGCCUUGGUUUCUUCCAUGUCUGGGGAUCCCUAGCCACCCCUCUCAAUGCCCGCUGACACAAGUGGCCUCAGGUUAGAGCCACUUCUGCCAGCUCUGUCACAGCUGCUGGCCCCAUGUCAGCAAGAGGAAUGAGCUAACUCCUGCACACAACGGGGCAGGCUUCCCUUCCCAUGGCAGGCUGCCAAAGGCGGAUCCGUCUGGCAAAUCUCUGAAUGCUGAGAGUGGAGGAGAAGGUAAAGCAGCAAAAGCAGGCAGUUGGGGCUGCCCUUUCCUCAUCAGGAGGUGGAGCUCUUUUCUCCAGCCCCCUUCUGAGCCCACAGGCACCACCACAUGCAGCAAACGCUUUGAGCCUACAGCUGCAAAGGCGCAGGAAGCACACGCAGACACCCAGGAUGCCCCUCAGCACCCCAAAAAGCAGCAUGUACCUGAUCACAGUUCCUCUGGGACUGCAGGUGUGUCUGAAGGCGGCGCAGCAGAGGGACACCGUUGCGGGAUUGCCUCUUCAGAGUCCAGUAGCUGUGCAGCCUCUGCAUGAACUGACUCUUCCUCUGGAUAGUUAGACGAUUGGUAAUCUUGCUGAGCCUGAAGAAGGGAGAGGAACCACAAACCCAAUCAGCAAAGCAAACCUGGCCAUAGUAGAAGCCCCAGUGUAGCAGCGAGGCCACCCAUGAGCUCCUCAGACUGAGCACACACAUUUGUUUAGCAGAAAUCCCUGAAAGGCCAAGGAACGAGGCAGCACACCACCGACAGUUACACUGAAAAACUUCCAGCCUUGUCUCUCUGAAAGGCCUUUUCCUUUCUUUCCUUUCCUCUUGACUGUUCCAGGUUGGGGUGCAAGGCAGGGGCAUUGGCAGCUGGGCCUUUCACAGCUCCCUGUGGCCCCGAGACCACGGCACGGCUGUCCCAAAGCUGUGAUUCACCCGGCUUAUUAUGCUGGCAAUGAGGGGCCACCCAAGACGACAAAGGCCCUAUUCAAACAUUACCAGACAGCUCGGCAGCCCCGAGCAGUUUGUAGCAUGAACAAAUCUGGGAAAGCGUGAGGAGGGGUGGGCAGACGCUAGCAGAACAGAGCUUGCUGUCAGAGCUAAGGAAGGACUACCCUGAACAGCCCCAAACAAAACAAAAGGGGUUUUCCUCCUCUUUACAAUGGCAAAGCCUGAAGCAACUGAGACAGCCUCUUACACCAGUGCAGUUAAGAGAUGCCCUGCUAGGUGGGACUGAAGCGUGGACCCCAUAUCUCCAUGUCCUGCAGGGCCAGCUCUUCACACAGGGUGAUCUGACCUGCAUCAGCCUCAGCUGAAGGCAGACAGCAUCAUCAUCUGCUGUCAUUGGCUGCGCACAGCUUCUACAGGAAGACAUUUGGCAUUCUGGCAACAGCCCUUGAAGAAUAAUUAAUCCCAACAGGAAGGCCUGGGGUGAGGUUAACAGCUUCUAUCUCAGAGUGGGUUUCACUGUGAGCCCGAGGGUAGCAGAAAAAGCCUACAAACAGCUUGCCAGUGCAUCCACACGUGGGAACAGAGAGGCUCGGGUUAUGGAACGCACCCUGAGCGAGCGAGCCGUACCAUAUGGUUAGCACACCAACACCAUGGCGCAAAGCCAUCAAUCCUGCAGCACAGACCUGCCCACACAAGUGCCCCAAACUGCCCACAGAGCAAACCCCAGUGCCUGCAUACCCCCUCCCACUCCACAGGAGCCCUGAAGGAGCCCUGCCAGGAGGCAGUGGCCCCGUGCUGUGACAGCUGCGACUCUGGGACCUGAGGGCCAGUGAGUGCAGCUCCAGCGUGGUGUCCCAGCUGCAAUGAGGAGCACCCGGCUGGUGACUCAUGGCCACGAAGGCAAAUGCUGCCCUGCCCGGCUCCAGCUGUGCACCACAGGCACACCGCAAGGCUGGGAAGCAGCGGGGCUGUGUGGGGCCAGCUGUGGCAAAAGGAAGGUGGCCUCUGCUUUCUUCCUGCAGCCUGCUCCAACACACAGGAGAAGAGCUCUGGGAGCCCCCAGCUGCUUCCUGCCACCUCUGGCCAAGCUCGGUUGCUGUCAUGAAGCCAGCGGCAUCUAUUUCCUGUACAGGCAACUCGUGGGGCUGCACAUUUCACUCCUCUCUGCGGGAAAGCCAGAGGAAACCACAAACAGCCCUGGGGAAGAGCAACGUGAAAAGCAUUUGUGCAAAAAGAUAACGCCUGCAUACAAAGCGAGACACGAGACAGUGAGAAAGGGAGAGGCUUCUCCACAGCAAGGGGAAGGCAACGAGUUGUACCUGUGAGGGGGGAUGCAGGGAACAGAAACCACAGGCGCUGCAGCUCGUUUUUCUGCCAGGAUCUUCCGCGCCUUCUUCAUUUUGAUUCUAGACUUGGCCUUUGCCUUUUUCACCUUCUCGGAGCUCCAGCUCUUUCCUUCCUCCUCCUCCUCCUCAUCCUCCUCUUCCCCCUCGCUGUGGGAAAGCGCGGGAAGCCUGCGCACAGAGCCUGGAGGUGUGUGGAUGUCACAGUAGGCGGUUUUGCGCACGCUGAACGAGGUCCCGUUUGCUCCUGUCUCACGGACGGGCUCCAUCUUCAUGUAGAGUCCAGCCUGCUGGGCACAGGUGACAUGGAAAGCGGUGUAACAGUUUGCCUUGUGACACUGGAUGCAAGCCCCAGAGCCACGCUGCUUGCAAAUAUAGCAGGUCAGCUUCCACCGCGCGGGUGGGAUGUGCUCGAUGCUGUCUAUGGGCUCCAGGAAGACCGUGUUGGCAAAGCACACCUCCGGGAUCCAGAGGGCACAGACCACGUGUGCCCAGCGCCCAUCGUCCGUCUGCUUGAACGCGCCGCCCUUGUUGGGGCACAGGGCGCAGUCCACGGCUCGCGAGGGUGACUGCAGGCACCUCCUGCAGAGCCACUGUCCCUCGGGGAUGUAGGGCACCCCGUAGCACUCCUGGUGCACGGCCAGGUUGCACAUAUCACAGAAAAGGAUGACGUUGCUGUUCUGGCAUUCCCCGUCAUUGCAGAUGCAGCACACGGCAUCCUCGUCAACCAAGGCGUUGGGGUCCCCCUUGUUGUGGCUCUCAAAAUACGACUCCUUCUCCAGCCUGUCCAUCAGGUACUCAAAGAUCUCCUGGGGAAUGGGACUGACGCCCUCAGUCUUCCGCCGCUCGUUCAUGAUAUCCAGCCAGAUGUAAUCUUCCUCGUCCAUGUCGUACUCCACCUCCUCAUCCAGCUCCUCCGCUGACUUCUCAAUGUACCUGGAAGGAGAAGGCACGGGAGGGUCAGAGUGCUGCAUAUUACAGCCAAAAGAAACCCCAACAAACAGGAAAGAAGCAGUCGCGCUCAGAAGCUGGAGGUGCUGCUGCACUGCUCGGGGUACCAGUACAACACAGCUGGGUGUUCACACAAAAUAACAAGUUGCAGACAUUGGAGACUUGUCAACACAAGACAGGAACUUGCACAAGCCAGCAAGUGGGCACCUGGUGCUCUGGAGGCAGCAACCUUGUUCCCCAGACACACGAGCAUUGGCCCUGCUGCAAAUGGAGUGCAGACAGUGCCAUGUUUUGGUAAUUCUACCUGCUGCCACCUGUGGGUGAGGCAAGCUGAACUGUGGGGAAAAGCCAGAAGCCCCUGCACCCUGCUCCAUCUGUCCUGCUCCAUCCAUAAAUGACCAGCAGUCACAGUGCAGCACCACAUCAAGCACUAUGCAGAGACCUUAUGGGAGCUCUCUUCUGCAGCGUGAUGCAAGCCCACAUUAUUCCUCUGUGCCUGCAGCUUGGUGCCAGCCUCUCAGGCAGCAUGGUGGCUAAGAGGGCAGAGGUGGCUGUGAGAGCAUCGCUUCAAUGCUCAGUACUGGCUCUGCUUAUUUUGCCCAGUUAAUAAACCACGUAUGGAAAACCAA